rnacentral:rRNA from 1 species
UCCCGAGCGUUGUCCGGAUUUAUUGGGCGUAAAGCGAGCGCAGGUGGUUUAUUAAGUUUGGUGUAAAAGGCAGUGGCUCAACCAUUGUAUGCAUUGGAAACUGGUAGACUUGAGUGCAGGAGAGGAGAGUGGAAUUCCAUGUGUAGCGGUGAAAUGCGUAGAUAUAUGGAGGAACACCGGUGGCGAAAGCGGCUCUCUGGCCUGUAACUGACACUGAGGCUCGAAAGCGUGGGGAGCAAACAGGAUUAGAUACCCUGGUAGUCCACGCCGUAAACGAUGAGUGCUAGAUGUAGGGAGCUAUAAGUUCUCUGUAUCGCAGCUAACGCAAUAAGCACUCCGCCUGGGGAGUACGACCGCAAGGUUGAAACUCAAAGGAAUUGACGGGGGCCCGC